GACGAACGCUGGCGGCGUGCUUAACACAUGCAAGUCGAACGGAAAGGCCCUGCUUUUGUGGGGUGCUCGAGUGGCGAACGGGUGAGUAACACGUGAGUAACCUGCCCUUGACUUUGGGAUAACUUCAGGAAACUGGGGCUAAUACCGGAUAGGAGCUCCUGCUGCAUGGUGGGGGUUGGAAAGUUUCGGCGGUUGGGGAUGGACUCGCGGCUUAUCAGCUUGUUGGUGGGGUAGUGGCUUACCAAGGCUUUGACGGGUAGCCGGCCUGAGAGGGUGACCGGCCACAUUGGGACUGAGAUACGGCCCAGACUCCUACGGGAGGCAGCAGUGGGGAAUAUUGCACAAUGGGCGGAAGCCUGAUGCAGCAACGCCGCGUGCGGGAUGACGGCCUUCGGGUUGUAAACCGCUUUCGCCUGUGACGAAGCGUGAGUGACGGUAAUGGGUAAAGAAGCACCGGCUAACUACGUGCCAGCAGCCGCGGUGAUACGUAGGGUGCGAGCGUUGUCCGGAUUUAUUGGGCGUAAAGGGCUCGUAGGUGGUUGAUCGCGUCGGAAGUGUAAUCUUGGGGCUUAACCCUGAGCGUGCUUUCGAUACGGGUUGACUUGAGGAAGGUAGGGGAGAAUGGAAUUCCUGGUGGAGCGGUGGAAUGCGCAGAUAUCAGGAGGAACACCAGUGGCGAAGGCGGUUCUCUGGGCCUUUCCUGACGCUGAGGAGCGAAAGCGUGGGGAGCGAACAGGCUUAGAUACCCUGGUAGUCCACGCUGUAAACGGUGGGUACUAGGUGUGGGGUCCAUUCCACGGGUUCCGUGCCGUAGCUAACGCUUUAAGUACCCCGCCUGGGGAGUACGGCCGCAAGGCUAAAACUCAAAGGAAUUGACGGGGCCCCGCACAAGCGGCGGAGCAUGCGGAUUAAUUCGAUGCAACGCGUAGAACCUUACCUGGGUUUGACAUGGAUCGGGAGUGCUCAGAGAUGGGUGUGCCUCUUUUGGGGUCGGUUCACAGGUGGUGCAUGGCUGUCGUCAGCUCGUGUCGUGAAAUGUUGGGUUAAGUCCCGCAACGAGCGCAACCCUUGUUCACUGUUGCCAGCACGUUAUGGUGGGGACUCAGUGGAGACCGCCGGGGUCAACUCGGAGGAAGGUGGGGAUGACGUCAAGUCAUCAUGCCCCUUAUGUCCAGGGCUUCACGCAUGCUACAAUGGCUGGUACAGAGAGUGGCGAGCCUGUGAGGGUGAGCGAAUCUCGGAAAGCCGGUCUCAGUUCGGAUUGGGGUCUGCAACUCGACCUCAUGAAGUCGGAGUCGCUAGUAAUCGCAGAUCAGCAACGCUGCGGUGAAUACGUUCCCGGGGCU
rnacentral:rRNA from 1 species